AACAAGGUCUCCGUUGGUGAACCAGCGGAGGGAUCAUUACCGAGUUUACAACUCCCAAACCCCUGUGAACAUACCUUAAUGUUGCCUCGGCGGAUCAGCCCGCGCCCCGUAAAACGGGACGGCCCGCCAGAGGACCCAAACUCUAAUGUUUCUUAUUGUAACUUCUGAGUAAAACAAACAAAUAAAUCAAAACUUUCAACAACGGAUCUCUUGGUUCUGGCAUCGAUGAAGAACGCAGCAAAAUGCGAUAAGUAAUGUGAAUUGCAGAAUUCAGUGAAUCAUCGAAUCUUUGAACGCACAUUGCGCCCGCUGGUAUUCCGGCGGGCAUGCCUGUUCGAGCGUCAUUUCAACCCUCAAGCCCUCGGGUUUGGUGUUGGGGAUCGGCUCUGCCUUCUGGCGGUGCCGCCCCCGAAAUACAUUGGCGGUCUCGCUGCAGCCUCCAUUGCGUAGUAGCUAACACCUCGCAACUGGAACGCGGCGCGGCCAUGCCGUAAAACCCCAACUUCUGAAUGUUGACCUCGGAUCAGGUAGGAAUACCCGCUGAACUUAAGCAUAUCAGCAAAAGAAACCAACAGGGAUUGCCCUAGUAACGGCGAGUGAAGCGGCAACAGCUCAAAUUUGAAAUCUGGCUUUCGGGCCCGAGUUGUAAUUUGUAGAGGAUACUUUUGAUGCGGUGCCUUCCGAGUUCCCUGGAACGGGACGCCAUAGAGGGUGAGAGCCCCGUCUGGUUGGAUGCCAAAUCUCUGUAAAGUUCCUUCGACGAGUCGAGUAGUUUGGGAAUGCUGCUCUAAAUGGGAGGUAUAUGUCUUCUAAAGCUAAAUAUUGGCCAGAGACCGAUAGCGCACAAGUAGAGUGAUCGAAAGAUGAAAAGCACUUUGAAAAGAGAGUUAAAAAGUACGUGAAAUUGUUGAAAGGGAAGCGUUUAUGACCAGACUUGGACUUGGUUAAUCAUCUGGGGUUCUCCCCAGUGCACUUUUCCAGUUCAGGCCAGCAUCNGUUUUCGCCGGGGGAUAAAGGCUUCGGGAAUGUAGCUCUUCUUCGGGGAGUGUUAUAGCCCGUUGUGUAAUACCCUGGUGGAGGACUGGAGGUUCGCGCUUCUGCAAGGAUGCUGGCGUAAUGGUCAUCAACGACCCG
rnacentral:rRNA from 1 species